CAGCAGCCGCGGUAAUACAGAGGAUGCAAGCGUUAUUCGGAAUGAUUGGGCGUAAAGCGUGCGCAGGCGGUUAUAUAAGUCAGAUGUGAAAUCCCCGGGCUCAACCUGGGAACUGCAUUUGAGACUGUAUGGCUAGAGUGUGUCAGAGGGGGGUAGAAUUCCACGUGUAGCAGUGAAAUGCGUAGAUAUGUGAAAGAACACCAACGGCGAAAGCACUCUGCUGGGCCGACACUGACACUGAGAGACGAAAGCUAGGGGAGCAAAUGGGAUUAGAUACCCCAGUAGUCCCUGUCUCUUAUAC
rnacentral:rRNA from 1 species